UUUUUUUUAACAAGGAAAAUUAGCACAUUCUUAUCGAAAGCACAAACGUCAAAGACAUCAUCAGAAUAAUUCAAUCAAUAAGAACUAAAACCUACUGGGAAAGUAACUCAUAUCCCUUUAAACCAAAAAGCACCAAACAAAACAGCUUAAGCAGUAAGAACAACAGCUCCACCGUUCUCCUUUAUCUUAUUCUCGGCAAUCUUGGACACCAGCUUCGCUUUCACCACAAUCGGCUUAUUCUCUGGCAUGGCGCCCUUCCCCAAUACCUUGAAGUAGCCAUACUGAGUGACAUCGAUCAUGGGCACAUUGUCCUUGCUAGCCUUACCUUGCUGGCCUAAACGUGAGACCCACCACAAUCAAGGUUUCAUUUUACAUACAUCGGAUGUUUCAUUGUUUGAUUUUUCCAGUUCCUGAGGGAUCAAUGACCGGAGUUUGUCGAUAUUGGCGAUGGGGCAGUGGAAUUUGUUACGCAACUUGUGGAAAUAUCGCAUACCAACAUUUCCAAAAUAACCAGGAUGGUACUUGUCGAAGAGGAUCCAAUGGUGGUGCAUGCGUCCUGGGUUUCCGCGACCUCCUGGAUCCUUCCGGUG
rnacentral:misc_RNA from 1 species